AUAUAUGUGGUAUGUUGUGUAAAGGAAGUGACAGCCUGUUGGCCUCAGGACACGUAAAGAAUGUCCUUAGUACGCUUUGCCUUUGGGAGGAAAAUACAAAGAUUGUCACAAACGGGAAGUCACGUUCACAACGCUUCUGUCACCAGUGCUUGUAAACCCACCUCAAGGUGCCACUGAUGUAGUGGAAGUGGAUCAGCAGAACAGAAGUGGAGGCACGUGGCCAGAACUCUGCCUUGUAUUGCAUCCUGGGCUGAGUGUGCGGACGAUGCAAGCUGGAUGACGGAGAAGGAAGCAGGGAAUGUGCCUAUGGCACAUAAAGAUACCUGAUUCUCUCAUAAGCUGCAGUUAAUAAACUUUUCAGACUCGGAUAAUCUCCUUCAGAAAAAGGGUUUCUUCACGUUUCUGGACAACUACAGGAGAAGCAGUUUAAGGGCAAAAAAGCAGAAAAUAAUGAACGAUAAGACUGAGAGAUCUGAGCAUAUUGAGGGAGAAGAGACACAAACCAGAUUUUGCAGCAUCACAGCGCACACUUUAUACAGUGCUAUGCAACAGAGGGAAGUUGCAGUGGGUGGCAGAAGGCAAUCUCCAGAAGGCCUGGGAGAGGAGCAGGAAUUCCAGUUUUUGAGCGGAAUUCAGCCGUCCUGCUGCUGCCAAACCUCUGAGCAGGGAGGGGGAGAUGUGGAUGAUAUUGGCAUAGCUAACGUAUGCUCACAAUUGUUCGGCUGAG
rnacentral:lncRNA from 1 species